rnacentral:rRNA from 1 species
CACGUAGGGUGCGAGCGUUGUCCGGAAUUAUUGGGCGUAAAGAGCUCGUAGGCGGUUUGUCGCGUCUGGUGUGAAAAUCCAGGGCUUAACCCUGGACCUGCAUCGGGUACGGGCAGACUAGAGUGGCGGUAGGGGAGAUCGGAAUUCCUGGUGUAGCGGUGAAAUGCGCAGAUAUCAGGAGGAACACCGGUGGCGAAGGCGGAUCUCUGGGCCGUAACUGACGCUGAGGCGCGAAAGCGUGGGGAGCAAACAGG